GCCUUCGUGGUAUAGUGGUUAGCACGCUCGCCACGUAACCGAGAGGCCCAUGGUUCGAUUCCCGGCAAGGGCA
rnacentral:tRNA from 1 species